AUUGAACGCUGGCGGCAGGCCUAACACAUGCAAGUCGAGCGAGCGGCGGACGGGUGAGUAAUGUAUGGGGACUGCCCGAUAGCGGGGGAUAACUACUCGAAACUGCGGCUAAUACCGCAUACUGUCGGAUAACCCAUAUGGUAUGAGCUAGUAGGUAAGGUAAUGGCUUACCUAGGCGACGGACCCUAGCUGGUCUGAGAGGAUGAUCAGCGACACUGAGACUUGGACGCGGCCCAGAAUCCUACGGAGGAAGCAGUGGGGGAGAUUGGACAAUGGGCGCAAGGCUGAUGCGGCCAUAGCGCGUGUAUGAGGGAGGCGCUAGGGUUGUAGAAUAAUUACAGUCGGGGAGAGUUACCGACGGAAGAAGCGCCGGCUAACUCCGUGCCAGCAGCCGCGGUAAUAC
rnacentral:rRNA from 1 species